AGGUAAAGUGGUUUAAAAUAAAAAUGUAAGAUUGUCAUUCUUGAGAUACAUAUUAAUGUUUUUACUUU
rnacentral:tRNA from 1 species